AUUGAACGCUGGCGGCAGGCCUAACACAUGCAAGUCGAACGAGUGGCGGACGGGUGAGUAAUGUCUGGGAAACUGCCUGAUGGAUGGGGAUAACUACUGGAAACGGUAGCUAAUACCGCAUACCAUCGGAUGUGCCAAGAGGGGAUUAGCUAGUAGGUGGGGUAAAGGAUCACCUCGGCGACGAUCCAUAGCUGGUCUGAGAGGGUGACCAGCCACACUGGAACUGAGACACGUUCCAGACUCCUACGCUAGGCAGUAGUGGGGAAUCUGGCGCAAUGGGCGCAAGCCUGAUGCAGCGACUCCGCGUGUAUGAAGAGGGCCAUCGGGUUGUAAAGUACGUUCAGCGGGGAGGCGUUACCCGCAGAAGAAGCACCGGCUAACGCCGUGCCAGCAGCCGCGGUAAUAC
rnacentral:rRNA from 1 species